rnacentral:rRNA from 1 species
AUUGAACGCUGGCGGCAUGCCUAACACAUGCAAGUCGAACGGAAACGAUGGGAGCUUGCUCCCAGGCGUCGAGUGGCGGACGGGUGAGUAAUACUUAGGAAUCUGCCCAGUAGUGGGGGACAACAUUCGGAAACGGAUGCUAAUACCGCAUACGCACUACGGUGGAAAGUGGAGGACCUUCGGGCUUCACGCUAUUGGAUGAGCCUAAGUCGGAUUAGCUUGUUGGUGAGGUAAGGGCUCACCAAGGCGACGAUCCGUAGCUGGUCUGAGAGGACGAUCAGCCACACUGGGACUGAGACACGGCCCAGACUCCUACGGGAGGCAGCAGUGGGGAAUAUUGGACAAUCGGGGGCAACCCUGAUCCAGCAAUGCCGCGUGUGUGAAGAAGGCCUGCGGGUUGUAAAGCACUUUCAGUAGAGAAGAAAAGCCUAGGGUUAAUACCCCUGAGUCUUGACGUUACCUACAGAAGAAGCACCGGCUAACUCCGUG